rnacentral:tRNA from 1 species
UAUUUAAUAGUGUUAAGCACGGAGGAUUUUGAUUGCUCAAGAAAUGGAUGACCAUUGUAGAUAA